rnacentral:rRNA from 1 species
UACGUAGGGGCCUAGCGUUGUCCGGAUUUAUUGGGCGUAAAGAGCUCGUAGGCGGCUUGGUAAGUCAGGUGUGAAAUCUCCACGCUCAACGUGGAGGGGCCACACGAAACUGCCAUGGCUUGAGUCCGGUAGGGGAGUGUGGAAUUCCCGGUGUAGCGGUGAAAUGCGCAGAUAUCGGGAGGAACACCCGUAGCGAAGGCGGCACUCUGGGCCGGUACUGACGCUGAGGAGCGAAAGCGUGGGGAGCAAACAGG